rfam:Phaseolus vulgaris cultivar G19833 chromosome 11, whole genome shotgun sequence.
UUAUUUGCGGAUGUAGCAUCAUCAAGAUUCACAUGCAAACGCAGGUGGGUGGGACUGUGAUGCAAUCUAAGUGCUGUGCCAACCAUGCCAUAGGUCUUUUGGAAGUGAGAAUCUUGAUGAUGCUGCAUCAGCCAUAAA